rnacentral:snRNA from 1 species
GUACUAGUUUCGGCAGUACAUAUACUAAAAUUGGAACGAUACAGAAAAGAUUAGUAUGGCCCCUGCCCAAGGAUGAUACGCUAAAUCGUGAAGCGUUCCACAUUUUU